rnacentral:rRNA from 1 species
AACGAACGCUGGCGGCAGGCUUAACACAUGCAAGUCGAACGCAUCCUUCGGGGUGAGUGGCAGACGGGUGAGUAACGCGUGGGAACGUGCCCUUCAGUUCGGGAUAACCCAGGGAAACUUGGGCUAAUACCGGAUACGUCGAGAGCAGAAAGACUUAUCGCUGAAGGAUCGGCCCGCGUCUGAUUAGCUAGUUGGUGGGGUAAUGGCCCACCAAGGCGACGAUCAGUAGCUGGUCUGAGAGGAUGAUCAGCCACAUUGGGACUGAGACACGGCCCAAACUCCUACGGGAGGCAGCAGUGGGGAAUAUUGGACAAUGGGCGCAAGCCUGAUCCAGCCAUGCCGCGUGAGUGAUGAAGGCCUUAGGGUUGUAAAGCUCUUUCGUCCGGGACGAUAAUGACGGUACCGGAAGAAGAAGCCCCGGCUAACUUCGUGCCAGCCGCCGCGGUAA